CCCGGCUGUCCCAGGGCUUGACGCGUGACUCCCUGAGUCCCUGCAGCGCUGCUCUGCGGCGGUCACGGUCACGCCGCGAUGCCCAUUGUCGUUCCCGCCCUCACGCUCGUGGGGCGCGCAGUAGCCCAAAGUAGAUCGCGCAGAAGCCUCGGUGCUUCCAGGAGAACGCGGGCUGCAGGGCCAAGACACGAGCUCUGUUCUAAGAGCCGGGCUGCCCUCGCCUCCGGCCCACGAGGUCCUGUGGCUGACCAGCAGCCGCGGCGGCCGAGAGCUCACCGAAGCCUCACAGUGAAGUCGCCGGUGCCGGGACAGUGUCCUUUUCUGGAAGAGCAGACCGAGACACAGACAGCGUUGAAGGUGUGUCAAGGGCACACACCUCGCAAGAGACAGAGGAGAUGCCUUGGCAUGCAGCCACUCUUGUUCCUGCCAGACUGUGGGAGGACGAGACACACGUCAGGUCAGACCUGGGACCCAGUCCACGCUGUCAUCUGCUAGCUUGG
rnacentral:lncRNA from 1 species